rnacentral:rRNA from 1 species
UACGUAGGGGGCAAGCGUUGUCCGGAAUCAUUGGGCGUAAAGCGCGUGUAGGCGGCCCGAUAAGUCCGCUGUGAAAGUCCAGGGCUCAACCCUGGGAUGCCGGUGGAUACUGUCGGGCUCGAGUCCGGAAGAGGCGAGUGGAAUUCCUGGUGUAGCGGUGAAAUGCGCAGAUAUCAGGAGGAACACCGAUGGCGAAGGCAGCUCGCUGGGACGGUACUGACGCUGAGGCGCGAAAGCGUGGGGAGCGAACAGG